GGUGGAACAAACCGUAUAACAUUCGUAAGACCGUAACUGGAAAGAAACGUCUAUGGUGACCAAAAUCUUGUGAUACGUUUUUGUUACGAUGAUAUUUUUGUUCCCUGGUUCCCUGCCUCUUUUUCUGCACCUGUCUCCUUAUCAACGUGCCUGAAGGAGCUGGAUUCUUACCCCGCCCCCAUACAGCCCGAAGGAGACACUGUCACCUUGACACAACCAGAGAAAACGGCACAUCUUACGAUGAAGAAGAGGGAUUUCAACCUGUAGGAAAUGUGUCCAACCUCAGCAUGUUUCCAAGAGCUCAGAAGUGCUGUGAGUCAUUCCCCUGUGUGAGUGCUGCGAUGACAUCAUCACGCUUCCUAUAAAGGGCCUUGAAGCCAGACCACCCACCCGCCCACACAAACACCCCUGCUGCAGCCAUCACAUCCAUAUAGAAUAACAGGGAACAUCUUUUUCUGUCCAACCUUCAGGGAUGUUCAGCAUUUUCCUUCGAGAGGAAAACUACAAUGUCUAGUGGUAGCACUGUUCUGCCUUAGAGAAGAUGAUUUGGGGGUGGAGGGGGAGAGAGAGAAUUUGCAAAUUCUUUUUUGGGAUCAGUAUUAUUUUUCAGUUGUGCCAUGACAGAAAAAGACUGUUAUGAGACAACAUAAAGCAAUAGCAAACAAGGUAAAAGCAGCCUGAUUAAUUAUCAGUAUUAUCUUUGAGUAUUAAUCUGAAAAGAAGAGAUAAGAUGUAGCUCUUGUGUCCUCUUUCUGAUUUUAUGUGAUUGAUAUUCAAUGGUUUAGCUGAUAGUGUCCUGGCCUGCAGGUCAGAGUGUAGUGUUUACAUGCUCUCUCUAGGAACUCCACCCUCCUUUUGAGGGGCAAAGAUAAAUGUUGUUCAGGUGAAAUGACGACUCUACAGAGCCGCCAGUGGGAGCACCAUCACGUCCAAAUCACUAACUGUCUUGGCACCACGCCGCGACCGCUACAAUAUGCACCCUCUCAAAUAAUAGUAAUCUCUCAAAUGCCCAGACUAGUUUGUAAAAAAAACAUGUCAAUAAUUUUGUGAUUAGUGAACAAUUCUUCAUUAUUCUGUAUAACACAUUCUUUUUAAAAAGUUAAAAUGUUUUUACCUAAAAUGUUUUGCAUAAGUCAGCGGUGGCCAAUCUUACCCACAAAGGGCCGUUGUGUAUGUGGGUUUUUGCUGCAUCUCCCUAAUUAGAUGACUGAUUGGCAGAGGAGUCCUCACACCAGGGUUUGAACAGCUGACCUAAAGGUUACCCCAAAAACGUGCAUAGACACCGGCCUUUUGCGGAUAAGAUUGGCCACUGCUGGCGUAAAUAAUCAGAGGCUGUUCCUGCUCUACAUCCUUCAGCAAUCUUUAUCAGAACCCUUUUUCUGUAAUCCCUAAUUCACCAGCAGGUGUCACUGAAAGUUACAAAUGCUUUGAAAGACACAU